rnacentral:rRNA from 1 species
GUAGUCCACGCUGUAAACGAUGAAUGCUAGUUGUUGGGACCUUUAGGUUUCAGUGACGUAGUUAACGCGCUAAGCAUUCCGCCUGGGGAGUACGGUCGCAAGAUUAAAACUCAAAGGAAUUGACGGGGACCCGCACAAGCGGUGGAGCAUGUGGUUUAAUUCGAGGCAACGCGAAGAACCUUACCAGGCCUUGACAUGGGUAGUAUGUUUUCCAGAGAUGGAUUACUUCAGUUUGGCUGGCUACCACACAGGUGCUGCAUGGCUGUCGUCAGCUCGUGUCGUGAGAUGUUGGGUUAAGUCCCGCAACGAGCGCAACCCUCAUCCUUAGUUGCUACCAUUCAGUUGAGCACUCUAAGGAAACUGCCGGUGUUAAACCGGA